CUGAUUUCUUUCUAAUAACCCUAGCACUACCUUUAAAAGACCCAGCAAGUUUCUUACAGCAACUGCACUACUGUGUGUUGCAACUUAUACCUUUCGUUGACUGGAUUUUUGUCCUCUGAAUACCAGGUGGCAGUAUACCAGUCCUCUUUAAAACAAGACAAAAAAAAAAAGGCUGCUGGGAGAGUGGCAUACCUCACCAAGUCUUACAAAGGAGACUCAAUGAAGUACAACUGCAUAAACUACAAAG